AGGAAAAAGGGAGAGAACAGGUUACGGCCACUGAGGGAAAUGUGAAGGAAUGACUGCAGUAAAGUGUAGGUUCUUUGGAUUUUUCUGCUUGCUAUCCCACUGCAGUUGAAGCUCGGCGGUGCUCAAAGGCCACCUAGAGGACUCAUUGGGGAACUGCACAGCACAAAAUACUGCAGUACCCCCUCCUCUUCAAGCUUUCUCCCCGACUGAGGAGCAGAGAGGGUGGGAGAAUGGAUCAGCAGGUCAGUCCGAGGUCAAGAC